UUCGACGCUACGCGAAGAACCUUACCUGGGCUUGAACUGCUGGUGGUAGAAGCCCGAAAGGGUAACCGACCGGAGCAAUCCGGGAGCCAGUAGAGGUGCUGCAUGGCUGUCGUCAGCUCGUGUCGUGAGAUGUUGGGUUAAGCCCCGCAACGAGCGCAACCCUUACCCUUAGUUGCCAGCGGGUAAUGCCGGGCACUCUAAGGGGACCGCCCGGAUAACGGGGAGGAAGGCGGGAUGACGUCAAGUCAGCAUGGCCCUUAUGUCCGGGGCUACACACGUGCUACAAUGGGCGAUACAGAGGGAAGCAAGGCCGCAAGGUAGAGCUAAUCCCUAAAGUCGUCCUCAGUUCGGAUUGCAGGCUGCAACUCGCCUGCAUGAAGUCGGAAUCGCUAGUAAUCGCGGAUCAGCUACGCCGCGGUGAAUACGUUCUCGGGCCUU
rnacentral:rRNA from 1 species